rnacentral:ncRNA from 1 species
CCCUUGUACACACCGCCCGUCGCUAUCCGGGAUGAACUGAUUCGAGAAGAAGUGGGGACUGGAGACUCGAAGUUUUACCCCUUCGCAGUUGCGGAAACCAUUUUUAUCGCAUUGUUUGAACCGGGUAAAAGUCGUAACAAAGGUAGCUGUAGGUGAACCUGCAGCUGGAUCAUCG